rnacentral:rRNA from 1 species
GUGGCGACCGGCGCACGGGUGAGUGACGCGUAUGCAACCUUUCUAUCAGAGGGGAAUAACCCGGCGAAAGUCGGACUAAUACCGCAUAAAACAGGGACACCGCAUGGUGAUAUUUGUUAAAGAAAUUCGCUGAUAGAUGGGCAUGCGUUCCAUUAGGUAGUUGGUGAGGUAACGGCUCACCAAGCCGACGAUGGAUAGGGGAACUGAGAGGUUGGUCCCCCACACUGGUACUGAGACACGGACCAGACUCCUACGGGAGGCAGCAGUGAGGAAUAUUGGUCAAUGGGCGAGAGCCUGAACCAGCCAAGUCGCGUGAAGGAAGAAGGAUCUAUGGUUCGUAAACUUCUUUUGCAGGGGAAUAAAGUGCAGGACGUGUCCUGUUUUGUAUGUACCCUGAGAAUAAGGAUCGGCUAACUCCGUGCCAGCAGCCGCGGUAAUACGGAGGAUCCGAGCGUUAUCCGGAUUUAUUGGGUUUAAAGGGUGCGUAGGUGGUUUGAUAAGUCAGCGGUGAAAGUUUGCAGCUUAACUGUAAAAAUGCCGUUGAAACUGUCGGACUUGAGUGUAAAUGAGGUAGGCGGAAUGCGUGGUGUAGCGGUGAAAUGCUUAGAUAUCACGAAGAACUCCGAUUG